CGGGUGAGUAACACGUAGUUUAGUUACCUUAAAGUCGGGGAUAGCUAUGGGAAACCAUGGGUAAUACUGGAUGUGUUCUACGGAACAAAGCAGCAAUGUGCUUUAAGAGAUGACUGCGGACCAUCAGAUUGUUGGUGAGGUAAUGGCUCACCAAGUCUAUGACGGAUAGCCGGCCUGAGAGGGUGAACGGCCACAUUGGGACUGAGACACGGCCCAGACUCUUACGAGAGGCAGCAGCUAGGAAUCUUCCGCAAUGAACGAAAGUUUGACGGAGCAAUACCGCGUGGAGGAUGAAGGCUUUUUGGAGUUGUAAACUUCUUUUAUAUAAGAAGAGAAUGGACUGUAUUAUAUGAAUAAGCCCCGGCUAACUACGUGCCAGCAGCCGCGGUAAUACGUAGGGGGCUAGCGUUGUUCGGAAUUACUGGGCAUAAAGGGUGCGUAGGCGGAUGCUUAAGCAAGAGGUGAAAUAUCACAGCUCAACUGUGAAACUGCCUUUUGAACUGGGUAUCUAGAGUUUAGUAGGGGAGAAUAGAAUUUCCGGUGUAGGGGUGGAAUCCAUAGAUAUCGGAAGGAAUACCGUUGGCGAAGGCGAUUCUCUGGGCUAAUACUGACGCUGAGGCACGAAAGCAUGGGGAGCAAACAGGAUUAGAUACCCUGGUAGUCCAUGCCGUAAACGUUGUACACUUGACGAAUGAAACUUGAUUUUGUUUGUCGGAGCUAAUGUGUUAAGUGUACCGCCUGGGGAGUACGGUCGCAAGGCUAAAACUCAAAGGAAUUGACGGGGGACCGCACAAGCGGUGGAGCAUGUGGUUUAAUUCGAAACAACGCGCAGAACCUUACAAACCCUUGACAUGUGUAUCGCGGUUCCAGAGAUGGAUCCUUC
rnacentral:rRNA from 1 species